GCCUUGAUGGUAAAAUGGUAGACAUGUAAGACUCAAAAUCUCUCGCUAAAGAGUGUGGAGGUUCAAGUCGUUCUCAAGGCA
rnacentral:tRNA from 1 species